UACGUAGGGGGCGAGCGUUGUCCGGAUUUAUUGGGCGUAAAGAGCUCGUAGGCGGUUCGAUAAGUCGGACGUGAAAUCUCCACGCUCAACGUGGAGGGGCCGUUCGAUACUGUCGUGACUCGAGUCCGGUAGGGGAGUGUGGAAUUCCCGGUGUAGCGGUGAAAUGCGCAGAGAUCGGGAGGAACACCCGUAGCGAAGGCGGUCAUCUGGGCCAGUACUGACGCUGAGGAGCGAAAGCGUGGGUAGCGAACAGG
rnacentral:rRNA from 1 species